UUUUUUGGGGGGGCUGAUGGGCACAUUGGGGUGGGUGAGGGGGGAAAAUCCGGCCCUGAAUCCCUGAUGAACACUCCUGGUCAUCCCAAACCAUCUAUUUUUCCUACAGGAGGUUGCUUUUGAGGUUUUUUGAGAAAGCAGCUUUUCACCAAAGCAGAACUGAGCUCUUUCCACAAUAUCCAAGGGCUUCUUCAUCAGGGAGAGGCAGCACAAGACACAGCCCAGUAUGGAAAAGCUGUUUGCUCCCCAAAAUGAGGCUCAAGAAGCCAAAUGAGAUGCUUGAAAACCAGGGAGUGCUGUGGCUGGGACCCCAUUCCCACCAGACUUGAUUUUUCCCCUGCAACCUCCAGUUUGGGAGUUAAAAGAUUAAUAUAUAAAAUCUAGCUAAGAUAUUGAACAAUGUUAGUCGUGCCCCAGGUGCUGUAGCAAAGGAUGGUGCUUGAGCCAGGGAAAAAAGGCAGGAAAAUCCCUUUAGGGCAAAUAUAGGGAGCUGGAGGGGUUGUGGCAUGGAUUCCCUGUGUUGAUGCCUGUCCCUGAAUGAGGAGGGAGCUGGGGAACACAGAGCUGAUGGGUUUGGGGCUAUCCUGAGUGUAUUUACUCCUGCAGAAAUCCUGUCUCCAGCACCUGGGCUUCCCCUUCCCUCUGAGCAUCAGGGCUUGCUGCUUUUCCCAGUGCAUGCUUUAGGGGAGGUGUGAGAGUUCAGUCCAUUUCAACCACCAUGGAGAGGCUGUGUUUGCACAGAAAGUGUGCAGGGUGAGUGCAUCACUAAUUAAAAAUGUUCUCUUGAACGAGAUAAAAAAAAUCACUGGGGUGGAAAGUGCUUGGCUGUUCCUCCUGCAGGAAAAGGUGCAGCCUGGAUUUUGGUGAUGCAGGGUUGGGUACCAUCCAUCACCAGGACCCUCCCCACCCCGGGGUGUCACUGGGGAAGCUGAGGAACACCUCUGGGCUUGUUUUUCCUAAGAAACUCUUGAGUUUCCCACAAAUGCAACGAGCCAGCAUGAAGCAGACAAAUCCCUGCCAAUGUGUGGAGAGCCAGAGCUGGGCUCCUGAAGGGUGUGGGGCUGAAAUGACCCCAGCACCAACCCUGGAUGAGGACAGCCAGAGGUAGGGAAGCACCUUCCUGAGCACCCAGAGGGGACUUUGGGGAGAAUUUGAAUUUCCCUGCGUUUUUGCUGUUGAUUUUUAGAGCACUCAGCACCUCUUGUCUCUUUUCCAUCCCUUCCCUCCCAAUUCCCCCCAGAGGAGCAGUAUGACAGUGAAGCCUGGUGUCAGCCCCUGGCUGAGCCAUGGCAUCCUCGGGGACAGAGCAGCCCUGGGGCUGAGGGCAGGGGAUUGAUGGAGUUCACAGCAGCACAAUCCAUCACUGGGUCACCACAGCGGGCUGAGGCAGCUUCCAAAUUCCUGCGCAGCCAAAUCCUGCCUGGGACUGCCAGGAAAGCCGGCCAGCAGCAAGUACGUGCCGUUUGUGUACCCAGAGCACAGCCAGGGUCGCUGCUGUCCUGCGGCUGAUGAUGAUGAUGAUGGAGCUCCAGCCCUCCCCAGGAUGUGACCCCAGCCCUUCCUGGGACCCCCUGCCCUGGGUGCUGCCCGGGUGUCACCUCUCCAUCAUCACCACCUUUUUAUGCACCAAAACACCCCAGAUUCCCUAAACUUUACUGCCCUGCCCAUAACCUCCCACCCAGCCGUGGAAGGAGCCAAGCUGGCUUUGUGCACUCCCGAUGGGAUUUACGAUCCCAGGGAUUUCCUGAGCUGCCUGUCAUCACCCUCCCCCCUUUCCCACCACCAACAAACCACACCCGUUUGUUUCGGGGCGCUCCUUGCACGUUUCUUGCUGUAUUUUUGUUUCUGCCUGCCUCAGGAGGGUUUCAGGGGACAGCGGCAGAGCAGUGAAGCGGCACCGAGGUCACAGUGAAGGUCACACCUUUGUCUCCAUGGGGAAUGUCAGUGGCUGGGGAAAGGAGGAUUGGGAAAACCCUGCAUCCCGAGGCGCUCAGGCGCUUGGGGAUUCCAUGGGAGCCACCCCAGCGUGACCCCAAAGCAGCCCUGGGAGAGCUGAGAGCAGGGCACGGAGGGGCUGCACCCUCAGCAUCCUCCCGGGGAUGCGGAGCCGGCUCUGGCCAAGCCCACCCAUGGGACGCCUGAUCUGCUCUUUCCACUGGUGACUCAUGGAAAAACCACUUGUUUUGCAGCAGCACUCGGCAUGUCGGGUGAUCCUGCCUCCCUGCCUUGCUUGUCUGUCUUUUCUUUAAAGGAUCAUUGGUAUGGAAACCUCCGGGAUCCCGACAUUCCCGCGGAGCUCGCUCACCUGAAGGCAUUUUCCCUGGAUGUGUGCAGGGCUGGCUGUGCAAGCCACGCUCCAUCAGCUGCCUGGGAGGCAGCCUGGUCACGCUCCCAGCGCUGAAUUUUUUGGGGAUUAGUAUUUUUGAGUGGCUCUUAUACAACGGCGUUGGAAGCUUGGAGGGUUUCCACCGGCUCCUCGCGCGUUGGUCUCCACACUCCUGCCAGCACCGCCGGCUGCACGGGGCCCCCCAAAUCUUUCCACAAGGCCCCAGUUUCUCCCCUGUCGAGGCAAACGCUUUGGCUAAUUAGCAAAACGUGUCAAAGAAAAUGAUUAAUGUCCCGGGAGGAGGCUGGGCUGCCUUUGUGCCGGCAUUGCCUGACUUCUGCUCUUAAAGGUUUUAUUAAAAGAUAAGGCAGCUC